UGACAAUUUGGUAGAGCCAGUGUGGGGU
rnacentral:piRNA from 1 species